AUGCUGCGAGACCCAGCCUCAGCCCAGUGCCAGGCCCCUCCCUGGCCAGAGAUGCUCUGUCUGCAAACCACAGAAUCUUGCCAAAGUCCUGAGGAGGAGUUGGCGGAGGCCAGGCUUUGUGGGUCUGAAGUGAUGUUCUCUAAAGACCUCACACAUGUACGCUCCACUUGGGGGUGCUUCGGGGGUCUUCAUGCGCGGAGCCUGGUCCCAGAGCAGAAGGCAAGACCGACCGGGGCCCUGAGCCCUGGGGCCGACAUCGUUGAGCUUCGGGGACUCUCGGGCCCUUGUGUCUGGAGCCCACGGAACCCAAGCAUCGACUCGUCUUGCUUGGGGUGUCCACAGCAGGCGAGGAAUUCCAGCGGUCUCCGUCUCGGGAGCCAGCAUUUCAGCACUCUCGCACACAGGACAAGCUUCUUGUAGGCUUUCGAUUUGCACUGAAACAAUUGGGUUUUCCAGCUUAUGUAAUGGUUUGUUGAUUGGUUUAUUAAAUCUGGUUAAAGAUUACUCUUUUUUUUUUGUACCGGGGAUUGAACUCGGGUCCUUGAGCUUGUGCAGCAGGUGACGAAACCACUGAGCUAAAUCCCCAGCUCUAAAGAUUAUUCUUAUGUAGGUGUUUCAAAACGAAGAUUGUAGCAAUUUCUAGAAAAAAUUCUGUUUAU
rnacentral:lncRNA from 1 species